UACAGAGGGUGCGAGCGUUGUCCGGAAUCACUGGGCGUAAAGGGCGCGUAGGUGGCGCCCCAAGUCCGUGGUGAAAGCUCGAUGCUUAACAUCGAGUCGGCCACGGAGACUGGGGGGCUCGAGCACUGUAGGGGCAGAUGGAAUUCCGGGUGUAGCGGUGGAAUGCGUAGAGAUCCGGAAGAACACCGGUGGCGAAGGCGGUCUGCUGGGCAGUUGCUGACACUGAGGCGCGAAAGCGUGGGGAGCAAACAGG
rnacentral:rRNA from 1 species